UACGAGGGAUCCUAGCGUUGUUCGGAAUUAUUGGGCGUAAAGCGGGUGUAGGUGGCUAUGUAAGUCAGAUGUGAAAGCCUGGGGCUCAACCCCAGAAGUGCAUUUGAUACUGCGUAGCUUGAGUGGUAGAGAGGAUAGUAGAAUUGUUGGUGUAGUGGUGAAAUACGUAGAUAUCAACAGGAAUACCGGUGGCGAAGGCGGCUAUCUGGCUACACACUGACACUCAGACCCGAAAGUGCGGGGAUCAAACAGG
rnacentral:rRNA from 1 species